UCAUGCUCUGUCUCUCUCUGUCUCAAAAAUAAUAAAAUAAAACACUAAAAAAAAAUUUUUUUUUAAUCUUAAAAAAAGAAAAAGAAUGUAAUAGGAAAAAAGGAUGAUCAAGGCAUCUAACCAAUUCUUUCAGGAUCUGGAAGUUCUUGAUUGAGGUUCCACAAAAGAACCUCACUAAUCUCUAAAGAAACAAGGCGGUUUUAUUUUUGUUCUCUGAUGAAAACUAUAUGUUUAGGAAGUCUUAGGUUCAUAGCUUCCAUCUGAAUUAUUAUAAAACAAAUACUCGGGGAGCCUGGGUGGCUCAGUCAGUUAAGCGUCCGACUUCAGCUCAGGUCACGAUCUCAUGGCUUGUUGAGUUGGAGCCCCACGUCGGACUCUGGGCUGAUAGCUCAGAGCCUGGAGCCUGUUUUGGAUUCUGUGUCUCCCUCUCUCUGUCCCUCCCCUGUUCACACUCUGUCUCUGUCUCUCUCAAAAAUAAACAAACAUUAAAAAAAAUUUUUUUUAAACAAAAAAACCAAAUAUUCUAUAAUUCUCAUUUUUAAAGAAUGGAACAUGGUCCUCCAUAGGGACUGAAGAAAGUGGCAUGAGAUAAAAGGAAACAAAAAUUCUACAGGUUUAUAAGUUACAUUUAACAAGGUAAAAUCGAGCAUUAUAAACUUAGCUUAACUUUGUAAUUGGUAAUAAGCUUUGUGUAGAAAUAAGUAUACUAUAUAAAGUUUCAAAGUAUUUACCAAAUUAUAGGUAAACAUUAUACCCACACAUCAGGGAUUCCUAAUGUAAUCAUAGUGCAGGGUAAGUUGUUAUUUGGCUAACAGGUGGGUGACGUUCCUUUCAUCUAUGAAAUUGCCACUUACUAGUAGAAUGAUUAUGUCUCUUCUAUACUUACAAUCAAAUUUAUUAAAGGCUAAAAUUCAAGAGUGCCAAGCACUUAAGACAAGCCUUCUUCAAAAGUAUGAAGUUGUAUACCUAAUAUUAUAUGGAUAUUAUAUUAAUAAUAUACAACUUUAAGAGUGAAAUUCUACCAUUCCUCACCUCCAUUUGUUGGAAUAGACUGUAAUUUUGUGCCCUGCUCCUUAUUCUGGGCACUGACAAUGAGAUUAAAAGCCAAAACUAAACCAGUUAAAAGAGACAGGCACUUCAAGGGGCGUCUGGCUAGCUCAGUCAGAGGAGCAUGCCACUGUUAGUCUUGGGGUCGUGAGUUCAAGUCCCACAUUGGGUGUAGAGAUUACUUAAAUAAAUAAAAACUUAAAAAAAAAAAAAAAAAGACAGAAACAGGCAGUUCAAGAAAAUUAUGGGAGCUCCUGGGUGUCUCAGUCGGUUAAGCAUCUCUUGGUUUUGGAUCAGGUCAUGAUCUCAUGGUUCACAAGAUCCAGUACAUCGGGCUCUACCCUGGCAGCACAGAGCCUGCUUGGUAUUCUUUCUCUCCCUCUCUGCCCCUCCCCCAAACACUCUCUCUCAAAAUAAAUAAACAUUUAAAAAAAAAGAAAAUUAUGAAUUGCCUGCCUGUUACAUUUUAUGACUUUCUGUUAAGGAAAAAAAGGGAUCAUGUAACUUACUAUAUCAAAAUUUGUAUCACAAAAACAAGAUAGCCUAUCUAAAUCUGACUUCCUAUACUUUAUCAUAACUGCCAAUACUUACUGAGUCUAUUUCCCAAAGACAGCCACACCAUAUACACUUUCCACAUCCUCUUCUUUCAAAAUGGUAUGGGGAUGGGACUCAAUAUUACCUACCCUUGAAUCUGAACAAGACCAAGACUACUGCAAAAGUGACACUGCAAGACUUCCAAGGUAAGGUCAUAUACUACAGCUACCAGCUGACUCUCUCUCAGGACACACAGCUUGGAAGCCCAGACCUACCAUGUGAAGAAAUCUGGUUCCCCUGAAGCCACCAUGCUGAAGAGAUCUUAUGAAAAAAGUACACAGACCUAGAGAGAGAUACCAGGGAGUCCCAGAUGUUUCAGUCUUCUCAGCCCAGGCACCACACGUGUGACUGAUAAUGUCAGUGGGUGAGUUUUUUGGUGACUACAGUCCCCAGCCUUUAUGCUGUUCUAGGCUGACACCAAGUGGAACAGGAAUGAUCUAACCCUACCCAGCCCUGCUCAGAUCUUAGAUUUAUAAGCAACAUGACUGUUUUAAGCCAUUAAAUGUUGGAGUUGGUUAUCAUGCAGCCAUAGUAACUAGAAGAAUGCUUGAUAUGUAGUAACUCAUUUAAUGUUUACAACAACCAUAUCAGGUAGGUGCUAUUAGUAUCCUCAUCUUAAUAAAACAGACUGAGACACAGAAUUACAUGACUUGCCCAAAGUCAGACAAAUAUAAAACACUAAUGCCAAAGUUGAUUGCCAGACUUACACAUAGGAAAAAUCUGAGUAAAUCACAGAUUUGAGAAAUACUGAAAUACAACCCAUAUCAUACAUCAAAAUAACUGACAGUUUCACUUGGUGUGCACACACAAGAAGUUGUUUCUUUGCUUUUGCACACCUAUAUAGCACACACAAAGGAUUUUUAACACUUAGAUAUAACUUGACUCAUUUAGGUGGAUAGAUAGCUUUGAUAACAAGGUAAACUAUUAAAUUUGAUUCCUACAAGUCAAUUAGUUUCAUAAAAAAAGUAAUUCAAGGUCACAGAAAGCAACCCAAUCCUCAGGUAGAACUUGUCCCAAAUUUAGAACUUAGACCAUUAGAACAGGAGCCUAACAAAGUCAACAUAAAAUCCAACUCCAAAUAUUAAUUUGUUUAGAGAUAAAGGGGAAGUCACUUUCAUUUUUCUUUAUCAAGAACAAAUAAUGGGGGGGUCUGGGUGGCUCAGUCAGUUAAGCGUUCGACUUCAGCUUAGGUCAUGAUCUCACGGUUUGUGGGUUCGAGCCCCACGUCCAGCUCUGUGCUAACAGCUCAGAGCCUGGAGCCUGCUUCAGAUACUGUGUCGUCUCCCUCUCUCUCUGCCCCUCCCCCACUCACACUCCGUCUUUCUCAAACACUAAAAAAAAUUUUUUAAAAAGAUCAAAUAAUUAUGAAAUUGGUCGUACAUGGGACUAAAGAAUUUAGAUCACAUCAGAUUUCUGUAAGGUCAUCUGAUUUGGUCUUCCAAACUGCUAUGGUACCACAGGCUUUUAGAUCUCUAAACUCAGAAGCAAUUAGAAAAAAUAAGUAAGAAAGAAAAAAAGAAGUAAAGACAAGUGCUUGUUUUAUUACGUGUGCUACACAUGCUCAAGUCACAUCUCCCUAAGGCCCUCCCUACUCACCUAAGGUGGAAAGAAUUCUGCUUCCUUAUGAUCUGGUUGAUUUGUAUUAUGAAUCACCUAUAAGCCUCUCAUUUUGAGUAAACUCCUAAAUCUAGGUAGUACAAUGCCUUGCACACAGUAAAUGCUCACAUACUUUUAGUGACAAAUUUAAGUAGGAUUUUUAAGGCAAGGAAAAUAUAUGGCUUUGUCACACUGAGAUAAUCAUAAAAAUUAAUUGGAGGCACACUAAAAAUCAUUAGCCAAAACCAAGAUAUUAUUAUUACUAUUGUUACUGUAAUUACAAGCUAUUAUCACUGUAAUUUAAAAAGCUAAAAUGGGUUUUUCUAAUCAAGAAAAAGACUACUCUCCAUCCCUACAAUUAUUUCUCUGAAUAAAAACAAAAGAUUUUUUCCUUAAGACCCAGCAGCAUUCACCAAAUUGGUCAAAAGGGACUUUAUGCAACAAUGAUGAAAUAUAGCCUAUGGAAAACAAGUAGGUUGCAUUCUUAUAUCACUACUAUGCACUGUGCACAUCAUUUUAAAUUUCCUUCUCAUUUCUAGUCUAGUCCAGAAAGCAAUAGUCUAGUCUAUUGCUCUUUAAGAUUACUCCACCCACAUUUUUCACAGUUUAAGACAAGAUCAGCAAGAAAUUAUCUUCAAAAACACUGUAAUACUAGAAACAUUCUAUUUCAAUAUAAUUACAUUACAAGGAGUUAUCUUUUACCUUUUUUAUCUUUUACCUUCUUAAAAAGAUUUCCAGGAAAAUGUCUAUAUGCAAAGACAGUACGUAAAAAAAUCUGCUGUGAAGGAUAACACCCAUUUUAUACAGAAGCAAUCAUUACUUGGUUUGUUUUUUUUUUAAGUUAGUUUUAAAUCAUAAAUAUGAUUUUAUCAGAUGAUUUCAGUACACACAUUUCUGACAAAAAUGCCUCCAGUAGUCCUCAACACCUCAAAAGACAUUUCAAAUGACUGUCAACAUGAAUUUAAAGCACUAAAAAAUUCCACAGCUGAUUCAUCCACUAUCAGAACUUUAACAAGUAUUUAUAAAAAGCAAUGACAUAAGUUUUAUAAUUUAGAAAUGAACUUGGGGCGCCUGGGUGGCUCACUUGGUUAGGUGACCAACUUCAGCUCAGGUCAUGAUCUCACAGUUUGCGAGUUUGAGCCCCGCAUCGGGCUCUGUGCUGACCAGACAGCUCAGAGCCUGGAUGGAGCCUACUUAAGAUUCUGUGUCUUCCCCUCUCUCUCCCCCUCCCCUGCUCAUGCUCUGUGCCUGUCUCUCAAUAAUAAAUAAAAAAAGUAAAAAAAAAAAAAAAAAAAGAAGAAUACAUUACAAUGCUAGUUUAUAUCAACAUCAGUACACAGAAGGAAAAAAAAAUGAACUAGUAAAUGUAUUUACUGAGAAAUACAAAUGUCCUUCUAAAAUCCCUCUUUUCUCUAAUUAGUAUCACUUCAUCUUUCUAGAAUAUUGAAACAUAAAUGAAAACCAGAAAGGGACUUAGAAAAGCAUUAAAAUUAAAGAAAUAAAAUGCCAAUAAAGACUCUCUAUUCCCCUAAAGACUGAAAAACUACAACACUUAAAUAUCAACUUUUGUAUUUCAUAGUCUUAAAAGAGAUACAGGCUAUGUAUAUUAUAAUUACAAAUGAAAAUGAGGCCCAGAAAUGUAAAUGAAUUCAAGUACUUAAGUUAUUCUUUGCAAAAGAAACAGGUUGAAAUUUAAAAUAGUCACUGACUUAAUACUAUUUUAAUUAAACUUCCCUAGUCCAGGCUGGUUAUAAGAGUCACUUAGGCAGUAUAGUAGCUAAGACCACAUCCAGAGCCAGGACUGCCUGCAUUCUCAAGGAGCUGUGUAACUCUGGGCAAGUUAUAAUGUCUGUGCUUUCUCGCCUCAUUAGCGGUUUGUGAGGAUGCAGUGAACUGAACUUCAUAAAAUCUUUUCAAUUAGCUCAAGAGUCUCAGAUUCAUAAGCAAAAUAGACACUCGCAGUUUUCUCCUAAAAUAGUAUAUGCAUUUAUUUUUUGUUGUUGGGAAACAAAAUAUGGGAGGUCCACUUUCUAAAUAAUUCAAAAAUCAAAAAAUAAAUAAAUAAUUCAAACAUCAUGGUUUUUCUCAAAUACUAUUUCCACCUAUGCUGUUAAAAAGAAUGGGGGGAAGGGAUGCCUUGGUGCCUCAGAAGAGCACGUGACUCAAUUUCGGGGUCAUGAGUUCAAGCCCCAUAAUGGGUUUAGAGAUUACUUAAAUUAAAAAAAAAAAAAAAAAAAAAAAAACUUAAAAAGAAAAGAUUUUGGGGAAGAUAUAAGGCACAAAACAGUUCUCCUUAUUUCUUAUAGUCCUGAUAGUAAGAAAGAAGAAAUUGUGUAUCAAGUACAUCCACAUGCAAUUAAAUUCAACCAAUCCCUGAAUUCUGAAGAUAGGCAAUGCAAUAGGUGAGUGAGUGCAGCUGGUAAGUAAAGGAAGUAUAAAAAUAAAUAGAACCAGAUUUUAAUUCUUAAAAAAUGUUACAGCCAAGACAAGACAAACACAAAUGAAUAUUUCAAUACAACACCAUAAAUUACGGUGAUUUUUGAACCCAGAAGAACCUAUCUAAAGUAUCUUUGAGAUCCUGGAUAAAGCAAAGCCAUGCUUGCAAUAUUCUGGGUUUGUCUAAAGGAUAAAAGAGAAUAUUUGCCAAGUCUACAUCUGAAUUAUCGUAUUUGAGCUCCAAAUUAUUUUAUGUUGUUUAAACGCUCACUUUUAAGAAAAAGAAUCAAUCUGAAGUUCAAAGAAUGAAAUGAUUACAAGCAGUCUCUAGUAAAGCCAGUACUACAAUUUCAAUCACUUAUUUUCACCAGAGUUUUCUUUUCACAUCUCUAGGCAUGAGAAAGGGAAGGAUAAAUGACUCUCAGAAUUAAAUAGAGCCCUAGGCCCUUUACAUAUUCCAUCUCAUUUAAUCACAACACGAAGGUAUUCUAUUUUGCAGGCAGGGAAACAACUUCUAAGAAGUUAAAUUAUAAUUCCUUCUAACUUAAGGUUCAUGUUCUUUCACUACCCAACUUUUCUUUUAGUUAUUUUAGUGCUGGAUAUGUCUGGAAAAGUAAGCAAGCUAUUGUUCCAAAGAAAUCCUCAAGAAAAAAGCUUUUUACUCAGAAAUAAUAACAAUAUUUUUCUUACAGGGCACUCAGGAAAUUAGCUUUUCUUUCCUUUGAUUCUGUUUCCCGAGCAUGACUUUUCCUCCAACUUCUACCCCAGCUCAAAUCUCUUCAGUUCACACCUGUACUAUUCCUACUACUUCCUAAUUGGUCUCCCAGCUCCCAAAAUUUCCAACCUUUGCCACAUUUUCCUUUAACACAGCAGUUUCAUCAUUCAUCCAAAAUACAUUCAAGAAUACCUAAGGGGGCACCUGGCUGCCUCAGUCAGUAGAGCAUGUGACUCUUGAUCUCAGGGUUACACAAAUUCGAGCCCUAUGUUAGGUCUGUAGAGAUUACUUAAAAAUAAAAUCUU